GCCGAGGCUGCCGGGGAGGGACCGGCCUGUGCUGGGGGCACGGGGUUCGUUCCUUGUGUUCGAGGGCGGCAGCGGGAGCGGCGCUGCGGGGCGGGACGGGCGGCAGGUGCCGGAAAAGGCUGGAAAAGAAAGAGUGGGAGUGGCUUCCCGAGUCGCUUUGCAGACAUUUGCCACCUUCAGAGGAGGCACAAAUCCCCGCAGGCCUGAGCAAGGGAAUUGCCACGAGAGGAAAUACAUCAAAGGGGCUUCCCUCCAAUAUGCCAGGAGGUUUCAGCGGGGAGAAAGGAGCUGUGGAAGAAAACCAGCCUAAAAAUAGCCAGU